CUCCCUUCUUCCUCUUCGUGCCUGCGCCGAUUCUGCCGAGCGAAGGAAAAUGAAGCACUAGCUUCGUCUCCGGCGGCCGACCGAAGGGGAUUUCGGCAAGCUCUUCUCGAAUUCGAGCUCCUCUCGUCAAGAAGGACCCGUGAGCACGAAGAGAGGCCACGAUCUCAAGAGACCCGAACCCUAGAAGUCUUCCUUCUUCGGUUGUUAGUCCAAGAACACGAAGGAUAAAGGAAAGGAAAAGAUAUAGCGACGGAAGGCGACAAAGUGGCGCAGAUGGUGUGUGAUGCCAGGACUAUGGGGGAGACUUGGGCAUUUUUAUGUUUUCGCAUUUUAGUGUAUAAGAAGCAUUUGAAGUUGUACUUUAAGAUCCAUGUCAUUUGAGAUUAUUUUUGUGUUAGAUUGCAUGCUAAUAUAAACUCAGUUUAGUAGGU